rnacentral:rRNA from 1 species
GUGGGGAAUAUUCCGCAAUGGACGAAAGUCUGACGGAGCAACGCCGCGUGAGUGAUGAAGGUUUUCGGACUGUAAAGCUCUGUUGUUUAGGACGAAAGUGCCUGUUGCGAAUAGUUACAGGUAUUGACGGUACUGAACGAGGAAGCCACGGCUAACUACGUGCCAGCAGCCGCGGUAAUACGUAGGUGGCAAGCGUUGUCCGGAAUUAUUGGGCGUAAAGAGCAUGUAGGCGGGAAUCUAAGUCUGUUGUGAAAAUGCGGGGCUCAACCCCGUAUUGCGAUGGAAACUGGGUUUCUUGAGUGCAGGAGAGGAAAGGGGAAUUCCCAGUGUAGCGGUGAAAUGCGUAGAUAUUGGGAGGAACACCAGUGGCGAAGGCGCCUUUCUGGACUGUGUCUGACGCUGAGAUGCGAAAGCCAGGGUAGCGAACGGGAUUAGAAACCCCUGUAGUCC